AUGACUGCAGCAAUCAGAGGUGGAAUAGGCGCCUUUUGGAAGGCUCUGCAGUGUGACUCAGCAGCUCAGCUCCAGUUACGUGACCCAGAAUCCACUUGGCACAAAACCUUCCUGUUCUCACUGCUGGGCCACAGCUCUGCUGGCUGCAGAACAGCCUGUGUUAGCCCUCGCAUACCCUGUUCGUUGCUCCACGACUGUGCUUUGCCUUCAGUUUUGCAGGCACCAAUGUGGUUCUUUGCUUGGCACGGGUUCUUCCCUUCCAGCUCUUCCAGUGUGGUUUCUGGAUGAAAAAGAGGAAAAAAAAAAAAAGAUGGUGCCUUCCUACAUUCCCCCUCAUAGAUACCAUCUGGAUUGCAAACAACUCACCCAAAUAGAAUACGAAGCUUGGCAGGAGAAAAAAAAAGCCCCUUGUGUGUCUUUCCAAAUUGAUAUUUCAAUAUCUCUGUUUUGCACCAACUGAAACAAGCCCAAAUUCUCUGGUAGGAGAGUGUGCACUAGCAUGGCUUCUAUUUUAUUAAGAACAAACAAACAGCAACAACAACAACAAAAAAGCAUGGCAGUCAUUUAGCUGUAAUGGCCAAGAUAUAAAAUGUCAGUUUUAUUUAUGGCAAGUAGCUGGGUAGAAAAUAUGUCCUGGCAUCGCUUGAGAUUUCAAGAACUUUGUUUUCCUUUUUCUCCUGCUGCAUGAAAUAAUGCUGUAUUCUUAACAAACAAACAAAGAAAAACAAAGAAGAAAACAGCCCUCUCCAGUGAGAAGGACCAUGUUCUUCUCUCCACAGAACCAGAAUGAGUGGACCUGUGACAGACAUAUGGACAUGAAAGUCAAAUCAGGUGUUCAGGGCCUCAAGCCCAUGCUUUCUGCCUCCAUGUUCCUGUGAUAAUCACUGGGGAAAUCAGCACACUGGAGUUAUAGUUUUCUGCUGUAUUUCUGACCAAAAGUUCCAUGCUGGAACAACAAGACUUCACGCUGAGACCAAUGAACCACAACAUCAGGCUUUGUGCUACCGGUAUCAGAGUGUUACAUGGCUGUGGCUGCUGACUUGUGCUUGGAUGAGCCUACACAAAUGCCAUUAAGUCAUUAAAACGCUGCUUGAACCAGCUUCCUACACAGCUCUAAUUAAAAUUAGCCAAUCUAAUCAAUGAUCCUGCAGUUUACUUUUGUAUAUAGUAUCUCACUUUCACCCAGGAACCCUCCCUAAGGGACCACCGUGCCUGCAAAUGCAGAGCAAAAUAGCCAUCCUGGCACGCUUCUCUUAUCUGGAUGUGAAAAGUGACAUCAGCCUGAGCU
rnacentral:lncRNA from 1 species